rnacentral:rRNA from 1 species
UCAGGACGAACGCUGGCGGCGUGCCUAAUACAUGCAAGUCGAGCGGACAGAUGGGAGCUUGCUCCCUGAUGUUAGCGGCGGACGGGUGAGUAACACGUGGGUAACCUGCCUGUAAGACUGGGAUAACUCCGGGAAACCGGGGCUAAUACCGGAUGGUUGUUUGAACCGCAUGGUUCAAACAUAAAAGGUGGCUUCGGCUACCACUUACAGAUGGACCCGCGGCGCAUUAGCUAGUUGGUGAGGUAACGGCUCACCAAGGCAACGAUGCGUAGCCGACCUGAGAGGGUGAUCGGCCACACUGGGACUGAGACACGGCCCAGACUCCUACGGGAGGCAGCAGUAGGGAAUCUUCCGCAAUGGACGAAAGUCUGACGGAGCAACGCCGCGUGAGUGAUGAAGGUUUUCGGAUCGUAAAGCUCUGUUGUUAGGGAAGAAC